UACGUAGGGUGCAAGCGUUAAUCGGAAUUACUGGGCGUAAAGCGUGCGCAGGCGGUUUUUUAAGCCAGAUGUGAAAUCCCCGGGCUUAACCUGGGAAUGGCAUUUGGGACUGCAAGGCUGGAGUACGGCAGAGGAGACUGGAAUUCCUGGUGUAGCAGUGAAAUGCGUAGAGAUCAGGAGGAAUACCGAUGGCGAAGGCAGGUCUCUGGGCUGAUACUGACGCUCAUGCACGAAAGCGUGGGGAGCAAACAGG
rnacentral:rRNA from 1 species